AUGCAGUCUCACUUCUUCCUGGGGACCCGGUGGCUCCCCAGCAGUAAGGUCAGCGGUCGCUGCUCUUUGGGAUGGUGCUGGCCGCUCUGUCCUCCUGGAUCCUGAAUCCACAAGCUCUGGGGGACCCCUGCCUGCCUGCUGGGGUACCUUUCCGCAGGCAGCGCCCUCCCCGGCCCCUCUCUGCUCUUUGGUCCUUGGCUUCCCCUCAGCCCCUCCUCCCAGGACCCCAGGUUCUUCCUCUUCUUUUGUGUUUCCUGCUGGGCCACCUCAGGCCCUUUACUAACACCCCUCUCCGUGAGGGGAACGAGAGAGAUUCCUUCCACAGCAGCAAGCUGACCGAGAAAGUGGGCUACUGAUUCCGGCCACAGCGGGUUCCCCCUCUCCACCCCGCCUGGGGUGAGAGUCAGGGGGAAGGGCUGCAUUUUUGCAAAGCACGGUAUCAGCCCCUGGGUGAAAGGUCGUUGUCAGGGAUAAAGGAGAUGGUGGGUGAAGCGGGUGCUCCCAAGCCCAGCUCUGGAACCUGCCGCCUCCUCGCCAUCAAGACUCGGCUGCACGUUGUAGGGCCCUUGAGCGAGUGCCGCCGCCUUCGCGGCUUCCUGCAGUGUUCAUGUCAAACUAGUUUCCUCCACCCCUGCCCCCUCCGCCCCUCGCAGCAGCUGAGGCCGGACCGCUGGACGCGAGGACCCACUCUGCAAAACAAGCGGUUGCAGACCCUCCCCCGUCUCCUGGGAGGAAAUGGGAUUGGGAAUCCCGCACUUUCAGAAUGUGGGCGUCCAGGAGUUCCUGUUUUGGCUCAGUGGUAACGAACCUGAUUACUAUCCAUGAAGACGCCGGUUCGAUCCCUGGCCCCGCUCAGUGGGUGAAGGAUCCGGCACUGCCGUGAGCUGUGGUGUAGGUCACAGAAGUGGCUCGGAUCCAGCGUUGCUGUCGCAGUGGUGUAGGCCGGCAGCUGCAGCUCUGACUCGCCCCCUAGCCUGGGAAGCUCCAUAUGCCGUGGGCGCAGCCCUAGAAAAAUAAACGAAGAAAGAAUGUGGACAUUCACAUUCAUGUAUGCUCAUCCCGAGGGAGGACAUGUGGGUCUCUGCUUGUGAAGACUGGGGCUUUCGUAAGUCCAGCUCAGAGGUGUCCCCGCUUCCCUGUGGAUCCCGAAACCCUGUCGGCGCCUCCGGGAACCAACUUGGACCACACCUUGAUUUUUUUGCUGGUGAGAGAACAAACGUCCACUGUUUCAAGUGGCUACAUCUGUGGCCGUUUGCUUUAGAAACCUAACAAAAUGAAUGCAUGCGCCUUGUUUGAAUGUCCCCAGCACCUCAGAGGUGGCCAAGGACUAAGCCCCAAGGAGGAGACAGCCGAAGGCCUGGGACAAAGGACCUGCUGGACUCACCCGAGUUUGAAUGUUGGCUCAGCUCCCAGAGCGGCAACUUGAGAGGGGAAAUGGGGUCCUUCUCCCCCGGAGGCCACGCUCGGUGUGUGGGAGGCAGAUGUCGUGGGUGGAGAGGUAUUUAUAGCUCAGCACUGGGGGCGGGGGACAGGCUGCAGACUGGCACCGUGAGGGGACACGGGUCUGGGACACAGCCCUGAGGAGGAAAGAAUGAACCUCAUGCCUGGACCUGCAGGCGCCCAAGCAGGACACUGACCAAGAGAAGCUGGACAUUUACACAAACUCAAAACCACGUAAGACAGUCUGUGCCAUUAAAGGUUAGGAGGGCACUUACCUUUGGUGGGGGUGGUGACUGGGGUGGGGCAUGAUGGAGACUUUGGGGUGCUGCCAGGCUCUGACUCCCUGGCUCCAGCCGGUUCUCUGGGUGUGUACUAUUCAAGCUAUAAACUAUGAUGUGAUUACUUUUCUGCAUGCAGGUUAAAGAUUAAUAACAUGUUUACAUACAGCUAAUUUUAAAAUAUAAUUAAAUGCAAUGGGUUCCUCCUCGAGAUUCUGACUAGAAGAAACCAAUUGUACAAGGAGAUUUCAGGAUUAUUUCAGGGAAGUUUGGAUUUGGAUUGUAGAUGACACUAAGGAUUUAGAAUUUGUAUGGUGUUGGGGACACAGACGAAAAUGUCUUUAUCCACACGGAGCUCCAUCUUGAAACAACACAGGGGGGUGGAAUGUUGUGAUGCCACGACUCACAUGAAAAUAUCCAGCUCCAGAUCAAAUAGGACAAAAUGCUGAAGGUUAUUAAAUCCAGGUGAUGGAUGUCUGGAUUUAUUACAUUACUCUCGCUACUUUUAUGUGUGCUUGCAACUGUUUUAGCAAAUGAGGAAUUCAGUAUACAAGUGGACAACGGCCAGGCCAUGCAUAAAAAUAACACUCUGACCCUCAACCUGUAGCAACCAGCCCAAGAACGUGUGAUCUGCAGUCACCAGCCCCGGAAACCGGCCCUUCCAGGAAGACAAACCACUAUCCCUAGUGACCAGCCCGGCCAGCCAAACAAUAACUGAAGACAACUGAUUUUUGACAAAGACACCAAAACAAUUCCACGGGGAAAGGAAAAUCAUUGCACAAAUGGUGCUGGAAGACCUGAAUAUUCAUACGGACAAAAACGAAACUUGGCCCCACCUCGUACCAUCUACAAACAGUGAAUUCCAGAUGGAUCAUAUAACCCGAGCAUAAAAGUUAAAACCAUAAAGCUCUUGGGAGAAGAUAAAGGAGACUAUCUUAGUGACCUGGACGUUGGUAGAAUUUCUUAGGAUGGAGAAGGCAGUAACCAAGGAAGGAAAAAAAAAAAAUCAAUAAAUUAGUUUCAUCAUCAUUUAAAACUCCUGCUCAUUAAAAGCUACCAGGAAGAAAAUGAAUAAGUAAGCUAUGGACUGGGAAAAAUUUUAGCAAAAUACCUAUUUGUCAAAAGAUUCACAUCUGAAAUGUAUAAAGAACUACUGCAUGUAAUUAAUCACAACACAAACACCCCCCUUUGAAAAACGGGCAAAAGAUUUCGACAGACUCACUACAAAGCAAGACAAAUAAAUGAAGAAGAAACCCAUGAAAAGGGGCUUGAGAUGAAAAUUCAAUAGGAAAAUGCAAAUUAAAACCACAAGGAGGUAGAUACAGCCACACACUCACUAGAACGGCGAAACUUGGAACCUUUCGCAAUACCAGGUGUCAGGGGGAAUGGGGACCAGCCACAGCUCUCGGGCACUGCCGGUGGGAUGUAAAAUGGAACAGCCACUUUGCAAAAAGGCUCAGUAGUUUCUUACAAAGUUAAACAUACACUUUCCCUUUGAGCCAGCAGUUCCACUCCUAGAUAUUUUUAUUUGUCCGAGAUAAAUGAAAACCUAUGUUCACCAAAGACUUAUCUAAGAAUAUUCACAGAAGCUUUUUGUUCAUUAUAGCCCAAACCAGGAAAUGACCCAAAUGUCCGUGAACAGACAGAGCAAAGAUAAACACAUUUUGUAUAUUCACGCAGUAGAAUACUAUGAAACAAUACAAAGGAACACACUUCUGAUACACACACAGCAUGGAUGAGUCUCAUAGACAGGGUGGGUGAAAGAAGUCAGAUACAAAUGAGUACAUAGAGUGUAUGUUUCCAUUUAUAUGAUGACAUUCUAGAACCUUCUAUGAGUUAAUCUAAGGUGAAAAAUCUCAAAACAGUGGUUGCAGAGGUGGGGAGGAACUAACUGGGAUUUUCUGGGGUGGAUGGAACUAUUCUAGCACUUGUUAUCGGUGUGUGUUAUUGGGGAUCCCUUUGCAAUAUGGUACACUAAGAUUCAUGCAUUGCCAUGUGUGUGAGUCAUAACCUGCAAAAAAGAACUGUAAAAAUCUUAAUAAUAAUUAAGAUUAUUAAUUAAUCUUACCCACCAGGUGGGUCAGACUGGGGAGCAGGUGAAAUUAUAGUUAAACCAAGAAUAGCAGAAUGUUGAUAAUGGCUGAAGCUGUGUGAGAGUACGUGAGGAUUUAGGAUAGGGGUAUAGGCAGGAAACACACUACCCCAGAAAAGGAGGGGCCAGGGGCCAAGUGACCCCAGAAUAGGUCAGGGAUAUUAAAGGGAAGUCUGUGAGGUGAGAGAGUCACCUGGUUCUUAGGGGAAGCACUGUGGGCUGGUUGUGAGGAAGAGGAGAUCUUGAAAGGAAGAGAAGGUGCUUCUUGGAGAAAUCAGGGUUUUGGGACAGAAGUUGAAGGCGAAGAUGAGAGAUGGAGGUAGAUAAGAGAAUUGGAGGUGGAGAUGAGAGAUGGAGGUAAGAUGAGAGAUGAAGGUGAGGAAGAGAGAUGGAGAUGAGAUGGAUAUGGAGGUGGAGAUGACAGACGGAGGUGAAGAUGAGAGAUGGAGAUGAGAGAUGGAGGUGAGGAUGACAGAUGGAGAUGGAGAUGAGAGAUGGAGGUGAAGGUAAGAGAUGGAGAUUGGAGAUGGAGGUGAAGAUGAGAGAUGGAGAUGGGGGUGGAGAUGAGAGAUGGAGAUGAGAGAUGGAGGUGGAGAUUAGGGAUGGAGGUGAAGGUAAGAGAUGGAGAUUGGAGAUGGAGGUGAAGAUGGGAGAUGGAGAUGAGAGGUAGAGAGGAUAGGUGGAGGUGGAGAUUAGGGAUGGAGAUGGAGGCGGAAGUGGAGAAGAGUGAGGGAGGGAGAGAGAGUGGAGAGAGAACAAUAAUUUCACUGUUUUCACCUUAUCUUCAGGAAGACACCAUCUCUUGCAGGAAAACAGAUUUUCAGGGAGCCAGGAGGCCCUGGACAAAGCAAAGACUGCGUU
ensembl:lncRNA